rnacentral:rRNA from 1 species
GAUGAACGCUGGCGGCGUGCCUAAUACAUGCAAGUCGAGCGAACAGACGAGGAGCUUGCUCCUCUGACGUUAGCGGCGGACGGGUGAGUAACACGUGGAUAACCUACCUAUAAGACUGGGAUAACUUCGGGAAACCGGAGCUAAUACCGGAUAAUAUAUUGAACCGCAUGGUUCAAUAGUGAAAGACGGUUUUGCUGUCACUUAUAGAUGGAUCCGGGGCGCAUUAGCUAGUUGGUAAGGUAACGGCUUACCAAGGCAACGAUGCGUAGCCGACCUGAGAGGGUGAUCGGCCACACUGGAACUGAGACACGGUCCAGACUCCUACGGGAGGCAGCAGUAGGGAAUCUUCCGCAAUGGGCGAAAGCCUGACGGAGCAACGCCGCGUGAGUGAUGAAGGUCUUCGGAUCGUAAAACUCUGUUAUUAGGGAAGAACAAAUGUGUAAGUAACUAUGCACGUCUUGACGGUACCUAAUCAGAAAGCCACGGCUAACUACGUG